rnacentral:rRNA from 1 species
UACGAAGGGGGCUAGCGUUGCUCGGAAUUACUGGGCGUAAAGCGCACGUAGGCGGCUUGGUAAGUCGGAUGUGAAAUCCCUCGGCUUAACCAAGGAAGUGCAUCCGAAACUACAGAGCUUGAGUACUUAAGAGGAUCGCGGAAUUCCCGGUGUAGAGGUGAAAUUCGUAGAUAUCGGGAGGAACACCAGUGGCGAAGGCGGCGAUCUGGGAAGAUACUGACGCUGAGGUGCGAAAGCGUGGGGAGCA